rnacentral:rRNA from 2 species
AGUGACGAUAGCCUAGGAGAUACACCUGUACCCAUGCCGAACACAGAAGUUAAGCCCUAGAACGCCGGAAGUAGUUGGGGGUUGCCCCCUGUGAGAUAUGGUAGUCGCUUAGC